rnacentral:rRNA from 1 species
UACAGAGGGGGCAAGCGUUGUUCGGAAUUACUGGGCGUAAAGGGCGCGUAGGCGGCCUUCUAAGUCGAACGUGAAAUCCCCGGGCUCAACCCGGGAACUGCGUCCGAUACUGGAAGGCUUGAAUCCGGGAGAGGGAUGCGGAAUUCCAGGUGUAGCGGUGAAAUGCGUAGAUAUCAGGAGGAACACCGAUGGCGAAGGCAGGUCUCUGGGCUGACACUGACGCUCAUGCACGAAAGCGUGGGGAGCAAACAGG